UGCUGCACUCAAAGUUCCAAAAUGCCAUUUGUGUUCUUACACUCACAGCAAGACCUACCAAGUCUUUGUAGCUGAAGAAAAUCCUACCCUGCAGCUUCUGCCCUUGGCUGGUAACACAGGCAGGGUAUAAUCUUAUGUUUCAUGCCUUCACAUUUAAACAACAAAAACUAUUGAUUUUUUCUGUAGACCGAAAAGCAUACACUGAAAUUCUGGGUUGUGAAGAUGACAUCUCCCAGAUCAUCAUUAAUUCAAAACAUUUUACAGGUAGCAGAAGUAAUAAAAAAAAGGUAACAUACAUCUUAAAAUAAAAAUUGAGGUGGAACUUGAUUUUCUGUAGAUCAGUUCCACGCCUACUUUUUACUUCGCAAACACAGCAGCUUACACAGGAUUCUUACAUUGAGACCAAAGUCAUAAAAUAUGCCUUGCCACUCCUUCCAAUCUUAAUGACUCCUAGGCACCCAGUAUUUCAAAACAUUAAGAUUUUAAAUGCUUCCUGGUUUAAUAUAGCAAUGAAAAUUAACACCAGACAUACAUGUGGUAAGUGAUUGAGCUAAGGCCAAAAGCCAUCAAGUGUUCACUAGCAUUCCCUUAAUGCUAUCCAAGGCAAAAUCCAGAGUAUUAAAAAAAAAAAACAUGAGUUUUGUAUUCCUGAUCAACAGGCAGAAAAAGCACACAUGCUGCACUAUGUUCACAUUACAAACUGACACAGUCUUUCUUUGUUCUCUUCUACAAUGGGGUGGAGACCACUGUCUCCAUGAUUAAUGUAUUACAAUCAGCAUACCCACGUAACUGAAAGCUUUCUUGUUUUGUUGUUGUUUUUGCUUUAGCAAGAUAUUCAGUAGCUGAGUUCACAUAUAAGGAUAACCUGAACCUGAACAAACUUUAAAGGACUGGAUGAGCUUUUUUCAUCAGUACAGACUGGUGUCAGGGCAGGCUGUGUAAUAACACCAGUUGGGUUUCUACCGUACAACCUUCUCCAGUCUCACUCCUAUCUGCUUUAAACACUGGAUGAUCUGUGUCUCCCUUCAAAGUAGGCACCUCACAAAGGUGUGCAUAUCCUUUUUAGUUUUAUCCAGCACGAGACCUCAGAAGGCACUAACUGCAGAAGAGAAUAGCUGCCAGUUCCUGGAAGGCUGCUGGAGCCAGCUCCAAGUCUGCCCAACCUCCUCAACAAAGGCUAGUUACUGCUGGCUGUCUACAGAGAAGAGCAGAGCUCCCUGGCAGUUUGUUGCAGCACCGUCUAGAGCACAGGCAGAUUUGUCAGUACCUGACAGUACAAACAGAAGCUGCUCAGAAUUAUGCUCAUCUAUCCUUAAAAAUAAUUUAAAAUAAUUGUAUUAAUUACAUAAGUUGGGUUGCAUCUUAAUUGGUUACAAGUGCGUUAUAGGUACACCGUCCAAAACUCUACAUCAUUUUUUCAAAUUUAAGUUGCUCCUUAGGCCUGAUUUUCUGUCCCAAGUUUGGACGGUAUCUCACCCAUUUUGCCACAAGACCUGGCAAAUCAUUAAGCUCCCAACAGAUGACUUGAUGAGGCAGGCAUGAUUUUAUUCACCUUCAUUAUAUCUCCCUUCAGUCAUUCUUCUUCAUGUUAUAGAGACCUAUUUCACUUUCCUUAUUUAAAAAGCAAUUUUUUCCCUUCUCUUCACCUGUUUUCACUUUAUUUCACUCCCUGUCCUUACAGUGAGGAGAUGUAGAAUGACGGAACAGAAGCUCUUCUCAACACAAAGCGCUCUGCAAAGUCUUAAAGUCAUAAAAACAAUGUGUUUUGCUUUCUAUUCUGUUCCUAACUAUUCCUUUGUUAUUUGUCUUUCACACAAUUGGACAAUAAACAGAUAUGUUAAGCCGGUACGUGCACGUUCUAAAUUGUUGGUGCUAAACAAAAAAGUAAAGAAAUUCAAAACACCAAGGCCCUGUUCAGACAGUAAAAUGUUCAAGAUGAAGGCAUACAUCCAUUAAUCUUGCUCAAUUCCCCCCCCCAAAGAAUUGUAAAUUUACAUUUCAUUUGCUUUAUACAGAUGUAAUUUAAACAAAUCUCUUUUUUUCCUCCCAAACUGUAAUGUCAACUCCAGAAAUAUUCACACUCCCCAGAGGAUAUGGAAUUGCUGGAAAUCCUUAUAUAUACUUUCCUGAAUAAUGAGAUGUAGUGAGAUCAGAAUCAUAGUAUGUAGAACGCAGAAGUCAUCCUAACAAGUCCAGUAACAAAGUAGUAUCUAAGUAACUGGCAUGAAGCAAGCUGAAGAAAACCUACACAGAUGUUUUCAGAAAUACUCCCAAGUCAAGAAAGAAGUCAUUUGGAAAUUUGGAAGGCUAAGUAGCAGACAAAUGAAUGCUCAUUUAUUUCAGUACAAGAACUGAGCUAAAGUUUCUGGAGAGUAACAGAAGCAAGUGACAUCUUGGCAGAGGCACAUGCUACAGCAUCUUCAGCAAUCCAAGGCUUUGGCAGUAUCCCAGUGAAGAGCUGGGAUUUACUCGUAUUGUUAUAACCAUCAGUUUCUGACACUACAACCCAGCUGGGAAAACCACCUUACAGUUUAAAAGGCUUCUUUUCCCAACGAUCCGCUAGAACAGGCAACAGGAUGCAACACAUCUAAGGAAUGGGGAUUAAGAAUUUCAACCGAAAAGUGAUAACCUUCAACCCCUAUUCUACAAAUGAUCCACUGGCUUUGCACUAAUCUGACUUCUGAAUGACUGAGCAUAAAAUCUUCCUGAAUUGCCUCCACAGACUUACGAUAAGUUGCUACAUUUCUGUGUUAACAACAGCUAUUUUCUUAAGAUGUGCACAUUUGCCUCUUCAUAACUCAAAAACGUUAACUAAUGCCAGUAUCGUUUUUUUAAAAGGUGGAAAACAGGGGAGAGCUGAGACUGAUUACUAGGGAGACACAUUACAGCAUAGCUGGCCCCACCCAGCCUCUCCUGAUUUGAUGUCUCUGCUUGAUGACUUCUCAACACAGACCUUCAGUACUCUACCAGAUAAAAAAGAGAAGUUAAUUCUUCCAAUUGCACCGGAAUAUGACUGAACUCCUUUACCUCCCUUCAGCCUUCUCUAGUAUGAACAUGUCUGAAAGCCUAACUCUAGGUGGCACAGAUCAUAAGACAGAGAAAACUUCAGCUCCACAUUUAAAAUGAAAAAAUCCAACUCAGAUUUCUCCAUCAAAACAAGUUCGUGUCACUUGGAGAAGAAAGUGUCAUCAAUGGAAUUUCAAACUCCCUUCAUACAGGAGCACUGCAGUAAGAGGCACAUAAAAGUGACACUCCUGUGCUCAAAAUUUCAAGGCAAUAUUUUGGGUUAGGGUUGUUAGCAAUUAAAAACAAAUAUCAAACAAAAUUCCAUUAAAGCUACCAAGAAAGCGGA